rnacentral:misc_RNA from 1 species
UAUUCAUUUAGAUCACUUGCAUUCAAUUUGUGUUUGUCAUUAUUAUCCAAAUAAUAAAGACCAUCAUUCAUAUAACCCGAGCCAAUAUAUUUAUUUCCAAAAUAAAUAUUGCAAUCAUCACCUGUGAACUGAAAUUCAUAGCCAUUUCUAGUCAAACUAGAUAUAGAAAUGAUGUUCUUAAAAGCAUCAGAUACAUAUAAAAUAUUAUUCAAACACAAAACAUGUCCACACAUGUAAAAAGAUUUAGAUCUUAUGGCUAAAGUUUCAACAGUUGAGUUAUUGCCAAUAGUCUAACAUCUCGAGAAUGCAAGCUGCUACUAUUUGCUAGUUCCUUUCGAAAGUUUAUCCUUCUUGUGCUUUAGAGAAACAAGAUACUCUGGACAAUUCCUUUUCCAAUGCCCAUCCUUCUGACAGUGGAAACACUUUCCUUUGCCUCCAUCAGCUUUAGUCUUCCCUUUCUAUUUAGCUAUUUUCUUGGAAGGACCAGGAAUCUGAGAUUUCUUUUUCUUAUUGCCCUUCUUCUUGUUGGACUUUCCAGUAGAAGAAGAUGCAAUCAAAGCUACCUCUUUUCCUUUAUUGUCCGGUAUAUUCUUUUGGGCAAUAACCAGUAUGUUGAGUAAACCAGCUAAGCUGCAUUCCUGUUUAGUCAUAUGAAAAUUUGUCACAAAAUUCCCAAAAGACUCAGGAAGGGACUGAAGGAUCAAAUCCGUCUGUAGUUGGAAAUCCAUGUUGAAGUCAAGAUGUUCCAACUGCUCAAUCAGCCGAAUCAUCUUGUGGACAUGAUCCCCAACAUUCUGUCCCUCAGACAUCCUCAUACGGAAUAGCUGUCUAGAUAUCUCAUACCUAGCAUUCCUGCUGUGCUCACCAUACAACUCUUGUAGGUGAAGGAGGAUCUCACUCGCACUCUGCAUGUUCUCAUGCUGUUUCUAUAACUCAUUACUCAUGGAAGCAAGCAUGUAACACUUAGCUCUCAUAUCAUGCUCCUUCCACUUAUCCAAAGUUUUAUGUUCCUCUUGAGUGGCCUCUGGAGGUAAGGGACCAGGAACAUUUGAAUCUAGAACAUAUCCUAUAUGUUCAAGGUUCAGGACAAGUUUCAAAUUUCUUAGCCAAUCAGACAGAUUAGGUCCUGUCAACCUAUUGCGAUCAAGUAUGCUUGCAAGGAUAUUGGAUGGUGGUGGUUGUUCUGUGCUCAUUAUUAUCAGAAAAUUAACUGCAGAAAAUAACUAGAUUAAUUAGUAAAUGUAUCAAGUAAUUAACCAAAAUGAUUAUGGUCUUUUAAUCAAAUUGGUCCUCCCACUAACUUAGCGAAUCCUACACUUCCAAAGUAGAAAACGGAAAUCCUAGUUGGAUGGAUUUCUAGUGGGUGAUUGAAUUCUUAUAAUUCUAUUGAUCAUCCUCAGGUACAUCCAUUAUUGGAAUUACAAUAAACUAUAAGUGAGCAACUCCUUGCCCAUCACAUCUCAUGUGAGGUUCAAUCCUUUACCUAGCCCCUAAUGCUCAAAAUCUCAGGUACAUCCAUUAUUGACUUAUCUUGCAUUAGUUAAGUUGAUCCCAUUGAGCCAGUAAUUAUGCAAAUAAUUUUAAUGUCCUCAGGUACAUCCAAUAUUGGCCACCAAACCAUUUACAUAUUUACAACAUCUCAUACUUAACAAUUAUUCUUAAGGAAAUCUCUUAAAUAAAUGCAUCACAUGCAAGUAUCUAAAAUUUCUUAAAAUAAUUACCUCAAUGGAGGGCCAUGAUAUAAUUACUUUAAUUAUACCAUUUCCAACUUAAUCAUUUGUUUGGAAGAUUUAGUGGUCGACUUAAUUAUUAUUAUGGUCUCACUUUGCACAUUAUCCAAUUAGCAUGCAUAUAUCAUAUACUUGCAUACAUUCCCAUACAUCUCAUGCAUUCAUGGAUAAGCAGUAAAUAUGGUAUGAUCAUGGACUUUCUAAGGGAUUCAAUUCUGAGCCACCAAGAAUUGAAUCAGGGCAUUCCUAGGUGCAUUUCAUUCAUUCAUAUUACAAGAGUUGCUGAAGGAGUACAUAAUCAACACUUGAUCUUGAAUUCCUCCCACUGGUCCCACCAAUGCUCUUGACCUCCUUGAUCUUCUUGCAAUCCAAUUACAUAGUAAUCCUUGGCAUACCAAGGCGAAUUUACAAGAACUUAAAUAAAUGAAAUUACAACCCAAAAAUUAUUACAAACUUAAUAAUACAUGCCCAAAAUAAAUUAAAAUAAAUUAAUUAAUUUACAACC